rnacentral:rRNA from 1 species
GGGUUGUGAGGUUAAGCGACUAAGCGUACACGGUGGAUGCCCUGGCAGUCAGAGGCGAUGAAGGACGUGCUAAUCUGCGAUAAGCGUCGGUAAGGUGAUAUGAACCGUUAUAACCGGCGAUUUCCGAAUGGGGAAACCCAGUGUGUUUCGACACACUAUCAUUAACUGAAUCCAUAGGUUAAUGAGGCGAACCGGGGGAACUGAAACAUCUAAGUACCCCGAGGAAAAGAAAUCAACCGAGAUUCCCCCAGUAGCGGCGAGCGAACGGGGAGCAGCCCAGAGCCUGAAUCAGUGUGUGUGUUAGUGGAAGCGUCUGGAAAGGCGCGCGAUACAGGGUGACAGCCCCGUACACAAAAAUGCACAUGCUGUGAGCUCGAUGAGUAGGGCGGGACACGUGGUAUCCUGUCUGAAUAUGGGGGGACCAUCCUCCAAGGCUAAAUACUCCUGACUGACCGAUAGUGAACCAGUACCGUGAGGGAAAGGCGAAAAGAACCCCGGCGAGGGGAGUGAAAAAGAACCUGAAACCGUGUACGUACAAGCAGUGGGAGCACGCUUAGGCGUGUGACUGCGUACCUUUUGUAUAAUGGGUCAGCGACUUAUAUUCUGUAGCAAGGUUAACCGAAUAGGGGAGCCGAAGGGAAACCGAGUCUUAACUGGGCGUUAAGUUGCAGGGUAUAGACCCGAAACCCGGUGAUCUAGCCAUGGGCAGGUUGAAGGUUGGGUAACACUAACUGGAGGACCGAACCGACUAAUGUUGAAAAAUUAGCGGAUGACUUGUGGCUGGGGGUGAAAGGCCAAUCAAACCGGGAGAUAGCUGGUUCUCCCCGAAAGCUAUUUAGGUAGCGCCUCGUGAAUUCAUCUCCGGGGGUAGAGCACUGUUUCGGCAAGGGGGUCAUCCCGACUUACCAACCCGAUGCAAACUGCGAAUACCGGAGAAUGUUAUCACGGGAGACACACGGCGGGUGCUAACGUCCGUCGUGAAGAGGGAAACAACCCAGACCGCCAGCUAAGGUCCCAAAGUCAUGGUUAAGUGGGAAACGAUGUGGGAAGGCCCAGACAGCCAGGAUGUUGGCUUAGAAGCAGCCAUCAUUUAAAGAAAGCGUAAUAGCUCACUGGUCGAGUCGGCCUGCGCGGAAGAUGUAACGGGGCUAAACCAUGCACCGAAGCUGCGGCAGCGACGCUUAUGCGUUGUUGGGUAGGGGAGCGUUCUGUAAGCCUGCGAAGGUGUGCUGUGAGGCAUGCUGGAGGUAUCAGAAGUGCGAAUGCUGACAUAAGUAACGAUAAAGCGGGUGAAAAGCCCGCUCGCCGGAAGACCAAGGGUUCCUGUCCAACGUUAAUCGGGGCAGGGUGAGUCGACCCCUAAGGCGAGGCCGAAAGGCGUAGUCGAUGGGAAACAGGUUAAUAUUCCUGUACUUGGUGUUACUGCGAAGGGGGGACGGAGAAGGCUAUGUUGGCCGGGCGACGGUUGUCCCGGUUUAAGCGUGUAGGCUGGUUUUCCAGGCAAAUCCGGAAAAUCAAGGCUGAGGCGUGAUGACGAGGCACUACGGUGCUGAAGCAACAAAUGCCCUGCUUCCAGGAAAAGCCUCUAAGCAUCAGGUAACAUCAAAUCGUACCCCAAACCGACACAGGUGGUCAGGUAGAGAAUACCAAGGCGCUUGAGAGAACUCGGGUGAAGGAACUAGGCAAAAUGGUGCCGUAACUUCGGGAGAAGGCACGCUGAUAUGUAGGUGAAGUCCCUCGCGGAUGGAGCUGAAAUCAGUCGAAGAUACCAGCUGGCUGCAACUGUUUAUUAAAAACACAGCACUGUGCAAACACGAAAGUGGACGUAUACGGUGUGACGCCUGCCCGGUGCCGGAAGGUUAAUUGAUGGGGUCAGCGCAAGCGAAGCUCUUGAUCGAAGCCCCGGUAAACGGCGGCCGUAACUAUAACGGUCCUAAGGUAGCGAAAUUCCUUGUCGGGUAAGUUCCGACCUGCACGAAUGGCGUAAUGAUGGCCAGGCUGUCUCCACCCGAGACUCAGUGAAAUUGAACUCGCUGUGAAGAUGCAGUGUACCCGCGGCAAGACGGAAAGACCCCGUGAACCUUUACUAUAGCUUGACACUGAACAUUGAGCCUUGAUGUGUAGGAUAGGUGGGAGGCUUUGAAGUGUGGACGCCAGUCUGCAUGGAGCCGACCUUGAAAUACCACCCUUUAAUGUUUGAUGUUCUAACGUGGACCCGUAAUCCGGGUUGCGGACAGUGUCUGGUGGGUAGUUUGACUGGGGCGGUCUCCUCCUAAAGAGUAACGGAGGAGCACGAAGGUUGGCUAAUCCUGGUCGGACAUCAGGAGGUUAGUGCAAUGGCAUAAGCCAGCUUGACUGCGAGCGUGACGGCGCGAGCAGGUGCGAAAGCAGGUCAUAGUGAUCCGGUGGUUCUGAAUGGAAGGGCCAUCGCUCAACGGAUAAAAGGUACUCCGGGGAUAACAGGCUGAUACCGCCCAAGAGUUCAUAUCGACGGCGGUGUUUGGCACCUCGAUGUCGGCUCAUCACAUCCUGGGGCUGAAGUAGGUCCCAAGGGUAUGGCUGUUCGCCAUUUAAAGUGGUACGCGAGCUGGGUUUAGAACGUCGUGAGACAGUUCGGUCCCUAUCUGCCGUGGGCGCUGGAGAAUUGAGGGGGGCUGCUCCUAGUACGAGAGGACCGGAGUGGACGCAUCACUGGUGUUCGGGUUGUCAUGCCAAUGGCACUGCCCGGUAGCUAAAUGCGGAAGAGAUAAGUGCUGAAAGCAUCUAAGCACGAAACUUGCCCCGAGAUGAGUUCUCCCUGACUCCUUGAGAGUCCUGAAGGAACGUUGAAGACGACGACGUUGAUAGGCCGGGUGUGUAAGCGCAGCGAUGCGUUGAGCUAACCGGUACUAAUGAACCGUGAGGCUUAACCUUACAACGCCGAAG